AGUGAACGCUGGCGGUAGGCCUAACACAUGCAAGUCGAACGGCAGCACAGUAAGAGCUUGCUCUUACGGGAGGCGAGUGGCGGACGGGUGAGGAAUACAUCGGAAUCUACUUUUUCGUGGGGGAUAACGUAGGGAAACUUACGCUAAUACCGCAUACGACCUACGGGUGAAAGCAGGGGAUCUUCGGACCUUGCGCGAUUGAAUGAGCCGAUGUCGGAUUAGCUAGUUGGCGGGGUAAGGGCCCACCAAGGCGACGAUCCGUAGCUGGUCUGAGAGGAUGAUCAGCCACACUGGAACUGAGACACGGUCCAGACUCCUACGGGAGGCAGCAGUGGGGAAUAUUGGACAAUGGGCGCAAGCCUGAUCCAGCCAUACCGCGUGGGUGAAGAAGGCCUUCGGGUUGUAAAGCCCUUUUGUUGGGAAAGAAAAGCAGCAGGUUAAUACCCCGCUGUUCUGACGGUACCCAAAGAAUAAGCACCGGCUAACUUCGUG
rnacentral:rRNA from 1 species